CGCACCGUAAACGAUGGAUACUCGUGGUUGGCGAUACACAGUCAGUCACCAAGCGAAAGCGAUAAGUAUCCCACCUGGGGAGUACGCCGGCAACGGUGAAACUCAAAGGAAUUGACGGGGGCCCGCACAAGCGGAGGAACAUGUGGUUUAAUUCGAUGAUACGCGAGGAACCUUACCCGGGCUUGAAUUGCAGACGAAUGGCAGAGAGAUUUGUCAGCCGCAAGGCGUCUGUGAAGGUGC
rnacentral:rRNA from 2 species